AGCGCAGACGGUUAUUUAAGCAAGAUGUGAAAGCCCCGGGCUCAACCUGGGAACUGCGUUUUGAACUGGGUAACUAGAGUGUGUCAGAGGGGGUAGAAUUCCACGUGUAGCAGUGAAAUGCGUAGAGAUGUGGAGGAACACCAGUGGCGAAGGCGGCCAUCUGGGACAACACUGACGCUGAGGCACGAAAGCGUGGGGAAGCAAACA
rnacentral:rRNA from 1 species